GCUGGCGGCAGGCCUAACACAUGCAAGUCGAGCGGUAGAGAGAAGCUUGCUUCUCUUGAGAGCGGCGGACGGGUGAGUAAAGCCUAGGAAUCUGCCUGGUAGUGGGGGAUAACGUUCGGAAACGGACGCUAAUACCGCAUACGUCCUACGGGAGAAAGCAGGGGACCUUCGGGCCUUGCGCUAUCAGAUGAGCCUAGGUCGGAUUAGCUAGUUGGUGAGGUAAUGGCUCACCAAGGCGACGAUCCGUAACUGGUCUGAGAGGAUGAUCAGUCACACUGGAACUGAGACACGGUCCAGACUCCUACGGGAGGCAGCAGUGGGGAAUAUUGGACAAUGGGCGAAAGCCUGAUCCAGCCAUGCCGCGUGUGUGAAGAAGGUCUUCGGAUUGUAAAGCACUUUAAGUUGGGAGGAAGGGCAUUAACCUAAUACGUUAGUGUUUUGACGUUACCGACAGAAUAAGCACCGGCUAACUCUGUGCCAGCAGCCGCGGUAAUACAGAGGGUGCAAGCGUUAAUCGGAAUUACUGGGCGUAAAGCGCGCGUAGGUGGUUUGUUAAGUUGGAUGUGAAAUCCCCGGGCUCAACCUGGGAACUGCAUUCAAAACUGACUGACUAGAGUAUGGUAGAGGGUGGUGGAAUUUCCUGUGUAGCGGUGAAAUGCGUAGAUAUAGGAAGGAACACCAGUGGCGAAGGCGACCACCUGGACUAAUACUGACACUGAGGUGCGAAAGCGUGGGGAGCAAACAGGAUUAGAUACCCUGGUAGUCCACGCCGUAACGAUGUCAACUAGCCGUUGGGAGCCUUGAGCUUUUAGU
rnacentral:rRNA from 1 species